rnacentral:lncRNA from 1 species
GCUCAAAGGAGCUAACUCACUUACCGAGGAUCCACCCUGAGCCAGCCUAUUCUCUUAACCUCUAUUCUGUAGUUUGGCAGGUAGCCGUCAACCCUGCAAAAGGUGAGUUGGCUGAGAGGCUGCAAUUUUGGAGUCAGGACAAGCCUGGCGUGGCCACGCUCUCCACGAUGGGCAAGUCUCUUCCCUCCCCAGCCUGUGUGUUCCCCCUGCCGAGGCUUCCUGAGCGCCCCUCCCAGGCCUGCCUUCUCCUUUC